GUGUUCCCCCAGGACACUCUCUUGCAGGCUCACCAUAGCUAUUGACGCUAUUAGCAAUUGCCUUACCAAAGGUCCAGGGAAAUGUCAAUUAAGGAGUGAGAAGUGGGUUAGAAGAGAGUUCAGAGAAAGGAAGGGGAAACUGAUGACCUAUCCGGUGUCAGAUAUGACUCUAAGAAUUUUCAGGGUACUGUUUUAUUUAAUUUUCCCAACCACCUGGGGAGAUGAUUAUUAUUCUUUCCCAUUUUGCAGAUGAGAAAACUGAGAUGUAGAAAGGUCAAGUAACUUGUCCAAAGUAAAACAGCUAGAAAGUUUUGGAGGCAAGAUUCAAACUUAAGUCUGGCUGAUUUCAAAGUCCCAAGCCCAAUGACUUCCACCCUACUGGAAAGACAAAGGCGAGCAGCUGCAGCAGGAACCCGGCCAUUCCGCCCCUGGUAUGAACAACAGUGGUAACAAAGCAGAAACAAGAACUGAUGUUUAUUUUGAGCCAGUCUCUUUGAAAACAUUAUCUCCUAGGGUUCACCAGCCUAAGGGAUGCAAAUUGGUCCUACUGCCAUUCAGUAUACUGAAGAAGUCUCUUAUUUGGAAUUUGAAAUUGUGACAAGAAACCCCAUUCUAGGAAGGAAGCAUCUUGAUAAGUGAAAGGGAUUU